rnacentral:rRNA from 1 species
CGGGGGAAAAAAUUAUUGCUAUUGGAUGAGCCUAUAUUAGAUUAGUUAGUUGGUGAGGUAAUAGCCUACCAAGGCAAUGAUCUAUAGCUGAUCUGAGAGGAUGAUCAGCCACACUGGAACUGAGAUACGGUCCAGACUCCUACGGGAGGCAGCAGUGGGGAAUAUUGGACAAUGGGCGAAAGCCUGAUCCAGCCAUGCCGCAUGAGUGAAGAAGGCCUUUGGGUUGUAAAGCUCUUUUAGUGAGGAAGAUAAUGACGGUACUCACAGAAGAAGUCCUGGCUAACUCCGUGCCAGCAGCCGCGGUAAUACGGAGAGGGCUAGCGUUAUUCGGAAUUAUUGGGCGUAAAGGGCGCGUAGGCUGAUUAAUAAGUUAAAAGUGAAAUCCCGAGGCUUAACCUUGGAAUUGCUUUUAAAACUAUUAAUCUAGAGAUUGAAAGAGGAUAGAGGAAUUCCUGAUGUAGAGGUAAAAUUCGUAAAUAUUAGGAGGAACACCAGUGGCGAAGGCGUCUAUCUGGUUCAAAUCUGACGCUGAAGCGCGAAGGCGUGGGGAGCAAACAGGAUUAGAUACCCUGGUAGUCCACGCUGUAAACGAUGAAUGUUAAAUAUGGGGAGUUUACUUUCUUUUUUACAGCU